CGGGCCGGAUCCGCCCCGGGAACUUGGGUUACCCGAGCCCAGGGACGCGCCGAGGCCUAGCCGCGAGGCCGGGGCGGGCUCCAGGCGACGGGGGCUUCCCGUUCCCCGACCGCAGAGCCUUCCCGCCCGCCCCGCGGUCGCCCGCAGGCAGGGGCACUCCCCGUCGUCUCCCGGCGACCGGACUCACCCGCCGAGUCCCGGGUCGGGUCCUCGGUCUCCUGCCGCCGUCAGCGGCCCCACUCGGCGGCCGCGCCGGGCCCUUCCGGGACGGUGGGAGCUCUAGGCCGCGCCGGGGCCCCGCGGCUCCGGGGCCGGGCGUCCGGGCCGCGGCGUCCGGUAUCAGUCCCGAGGACCGGGCUCCCGCCGAGCCCCGGCAGGAAAGGCGGCUAACCUCCGGGUGUUGUCCCACGUUGCCCGGCCCGGUGACGCGCGAUCGGGAGGACACGGGCGCGGGAGGCGGCUGGGCUUGGCUGCUGUGCCCCACGGCCGUCUGGCUCCUUGGGAACCAUCCCGGUGGAAGACUCCGCUCCCGCCUGCCCCGGUGUCCCGGCGGCCCUCGCGCAGUUUGUUCCAGCAUCUUGGCUCAGCCUGAGUGCUCCGCUUUGAAAACUAUUGGGGCAUUAUUCAUCAAAUAUGUAUGCAUCCCCUUAACCACGUGUCUGUUGGCAGCGUGGUUUGGUGGAAAGAAGCCGCACUUUGGAAUCCAGACAGAUCUGCCACGGAUUCUGGAUCUGAUAUCCUCUGUAUAACCUUGGACAAGCUCAUUGACCUUGCUGAGUCCCGGUUUCCUUGUCUUUUGUUUGGUUUUUUACUGUUAUUUUAAUUUACCCUUUUAUAUUUGAAAUUCCUUUGUGUGUGUGUCUCUGUGUAUGCAAAAACCAGAACUGUGUCCUUUAGCUAAGUCUACCUAAAUUGGAUUCUAAAGUACUUCUUGCUUUGGGAUUAUUCUUAUUCCUUUCCACCAUUACUAGCUGUGUUACCUGGAGAAGAUGAGAGCCUUAUUGUGCCUUUCCCAUCUUUAAAAUGGGUGUUAAAAAAAAUGGGCGUGAUUACAGAUAAUAAUAACAGCAAGUAUUUGGUGAAUUAAGAGCUAAAGUAUAUAUAAACUAGCAGGGGACACAAUAAAAGCAGUUUGUUACAGUAUUUCUUAAAUCUGAUUUAAGAGGUAUCUUGAUUUCAAAGAUAUAAAAAGCUCGUCUUAAAGGCAAGGAAAUAUUCCGUCACUCAGCUCUACCCAAGGGCUUGUGUGUGUUUGGUGGUAAUUAAUGAUCAGCCAAACUAAGGUUUAAACAAACACCGCUUUAAAUGAGGACUUUGUCACCAGAACUAUUUACAACGCAUGUAUGGAGCUUUUGCCUGAGUCCAGUCUCGAACAGCUUGAAAAGGUUCAUCAAGGCCAUAAUGGGGUUUGGUGGGAUAGAAAGAAUAGGGCUUCCAGGGACUUCCCCGGUGGUCCAGUGGUUAAGACUCCAUGCUUCCAAGCCUGGGGACUAUAGUUCGAUCCCUGGUUGGGGAACUAAUUUCCCACAUGCCCUGUGGCAUGGGAAAAAAAAAAAAAAUAGGGCUUCCAUCAAGGAUCAGUUCAGUUCAGUUAAGUCACUCAGUCAUGUCCGACUCUUUGCGACCCCAUGAAUCGAAGCGUGCCAGGCCUCCCUGUCCAUCACCAACUCCGGGAGUUCACUCGCAUCCAUCGAGUCAGUGAUGCCAUCCAGCCAUCUGAUGAUUGUCUCCUGCCAGUGACUUUCUACGCAUUUUAGAGUAUUGUGUGUGUGAUCUUAGGUAUACCAAACUAUUAAUACCCUUGGGCUAUAAAAGAAAAGACAGUAACAUCCCAUAGUCCUGUGAUAAGUAAACGAUGUCUGUAAAUAUAAUGUGAUAGAGAUUAAGGCACUAUCAAUAAUAUAGUCAGACAAAAUGCUGGAGCAGGUAGGAGAGCUGACAGAAAUACAACUAAACUCCAGGAAGGAGUAAGGGUUUGUUUCGGUUUGGGAAAUUGUUAGCUAAUCUAUUAAGGAUUGCAUACAGAUGACUGUCUAAACCUGAAAGGGAUAUCAGAUGUUUGACAGUUAUUGUUUUCAAUCAGGCAAGAGUAAGAAAAUGAAGAAUCAGAUUAAAAUAUUUUUUUUUCUCUUUGUUAAGAGUAAGCAGGAAUAUUAUGAUUAUUCAGGGUUUUCAUGACUGGACGAAACAUUUCCUCAGUUCAACUAGAGUCAGCCCUUCAGUUAAAACAACCGCUUGCUCUCCUGCCAUAUAGGAGACUCCAUUUGCCAAAGGAUUAAUGUAAACAUUCAUACCAAGUUGUUCAUCAAAUGAUGUUUGUUCAGAAAUGUCUUCUCCAGUCCUUUUCCUGCACUUCCUUGAGUUCUCCUUCCAUCUCUAAAUCCGUAUUAGGGGCUUUGCAGGAGGCACUAGUGGUAAAGAACCCACCUCUCACCUCUCGCAGAGAGUCAGACAAGACUGAAGUCAGCACAUCCUCACAUGUUCCUUGAAAGUGAAAGCGUUACUCACUCAGUUGUGUCUGACUCUUUGUGACCCCAUGGACUAGCCCACCAGGCUCCUCUGUCCAUAGAAUUCUCCAGACAAAAAUACUGGCGUGAGUAACAUUCACUUCUCAAGGGGAUCUUCCUGAUCCAGCAAUCAAACGUGGGUCUCUUGCAUUGCAGGUAGAUUCUUUACCAUCUGAGCCACCAGGGAAGCAAUGUACAUACAUCAAAACAUUCAUGAUAGGCAUGUUCAAAAAUUAUAGUAACCUUACAAGUCAGGGUGGUCAGACAAAUUUCCCUUUAUAAUAAAAAUGGUGAAAUUAUUUCUUGAAUUUAAGUUACAGGCACUGUGCCAGAUAAGCAUACCUGUAUCACCUCCUGGUGUUUAGUCACUCAGUCUUGUCUGACUCUGCGACCCUGUGGGCCGAAGCCCUCCAGGUUCCUUUCUCCAUGGGAUUUCCCAGGGAAGAAUACUGGAGUGAGUAGCCAUUCCCUUCUCCGGGGGAUCUUCCUGACCCAGGGAUUGAACCUAGGUCUUCUGCAUUGCAGGUAGAUUCUUAACCGUCUGAGCCACCAGGGAAGCCCAAUUAUGUUCCUUAAAGCAAGCUAAUGCAUGUAAACUUUGGUGAAACCAGAAUAGUUUCCUGGUUUGAUAUGUUCUGUAGUUUUGUAAGAUGUUACCAUUGGAUGGAGCUGGGGUAAGGGUAUAUGGGCUCUCUGUGUAACUUCUUGUGAGUGUAUAAUUAAUUUUAUAAAGUAAAAACUUCGGGAAUAUCCUGGUGGCCUAGUGGUUAGGAUUCCAGGUUUUCACUGCCAUGGCCCAGGUCCAGUCCCUGGAGAGAUCCUACCAGCUGUGUGACAUGGCCAAAAAUCAAAUAAAAACAAACUAAAAACAGAAAUCAGAUUAAUAGUUACCUGCAGCUGAGAAAGUGAGGGUUGGGCAUUGGAUACAUAGAAUUUACUGGAGUGAUGGGCGUAUUGUCUUGGUUUUAUUAGUGUUUUCUGUAUACCUUUGUCACAACUUACAGGUCUAUAGACGUAAAAGAUUAUUACAUUCUACUUCUGUGUAAAUUGUAGCUAACUAAACCUGUGCUUUGUUGUACUGUCUUGAUUCCUGCCUCUGGUCGUGGGCAUGUGCUGUUCCCUCUGCUUAAAUGAGCACAAGAAAAUUCAAGCCUAAAUUCAAAUUGCUUGUACUCUCUUAAGCCUUCUCUUGCCUCUCAGACCCACCACUCCAGCAAGUUCUUCCCCUAUGCUCACUUAUGCUAUGCCUAAUUUUUAGUUUUCAUCUGUUUCUUAGCUAAUCUCCUCCAAGACAGGCAGUCACACGAUUUUUUUCUGUCGCUGGGAUCCAGUAAUGUUGAAUAGGUGAAUGAAUGAAUGGUUUAAAGCAGGAAGAAAGGAACUUACCUGGUGGUCCAGUGGUUAAGAAUCCCAAAGAUCACACGAGCCCCGGGGCAGCUAAGCCCACUAGCUGCAGCAAAGACCCAGCCCAGCCAAAAUUUAAAAAAUGAAGUUGGAUAAAAGCUUAAAGUAACCAUUCUCAAAGUGUGGUCCGGGGUCUUUAAGACCCUUUCAAAGGGUCCGUGAGUUGCUUGGGUUUUCUUAUAUAUUAAUACUUGAAACAGCACAGCUCAAUAGAAGGCAGAAGCAGCUGAGAGAAUCCAGCUGUCUUCAGUUAAGUCAGCCAUUAAAGAUAUUGCUUGCAAAGAUGUAAAAUACUUUUUACUUUGAAAAAUUAUUUUUUCUUAAAAAUACUAGGAAAUGGGUUAUGAUCAAGUUUUUACUUAGUUUUAAUUUUCAUUAAAAUGCAGUAGAUAGGCAGUAGAUACAUGUUUGGGUUUUUUUUCAGUUAUUUGGAGUCUUCAAUAAUUUUUAAGAGCAAAAAGGGGUUCUGAGACCAAACAGUUUGAGAGUCUGUGCCUUAGAAACUGUUACAACCCCUUCGUUCAAGUAGGAAAUGACAAUGAUGUUGACAUUCAAGUAGUGCUCUGGUACACGUGGCAGGCCUUGUGAUAAGCACUUUACUUGUCAGUGCUAUUGUAUCUCCAUUUUACUCCUAAGACCAGUGAGGCACAAAGUGAAUUGACUUGGCCACACACCUAGGCAGGAUUUGAACCCCCAUGUGUUUCAGAGGUCCUGCUGCCAACAGUUUUCCACCGCCUUCCCAGAGGCCUGGAAAGGAGCGGAAGGAGAGGCCUGGAAAGGAGUGGAAGGCUGGUGCUAUCUGUUGCAUCCCUGCUUUGUGCUCUCCACUGACCUCGCAGUCACUAGACAAGAAUCGUAGAGGCCUCCAACUUUUCAGUUUUCAUUUAAGACCCUGCUACCCUAGUAUUUUCAAGCACAGCCUUGCAAUGCCUUGGUUUCUAACAAUCUAACCACGUGCACCUGUGCUUCAGCCACCCAUUCCUCUCUCUGAACCACACCCAGACUCGAGUAUACAACUUCCUGUUUUAUUGUGACAGCCUACUUUUCUGGUUUUCUUAAGUGUGAAAGUGAAGUCACUCGGUCGUGUCUGACUCUUUGCGACCCCAUGGACUAUAGCCCACCAGGCUCCUCCAUCCAUGGAAUUUUCCAGCCAAGUGUACUGGAGUGGGUUGCUAUUUCCUUCUCACCUGGUUUUCUUACCCUGGAAUUAAAGCUAUUCUUUUACUGCUUCAGGCCCUCAAUCUUUUGAUAUUUCCACUUGACUUUUUUUUUUCCCCUUUAACCCCAUUCUCUUUUCUUUUUUUCAAAAGAUUUGUUUAUUUUUUUGGCUGUGGCAAGUCUUUGUUGCUGUGCAUAUGCUUUCUCUAGUUGAGGUGAGCGGGGCUACUCUAGUUGUGGUCCCUGGGUUUAUUGUGGUGGCUUCUCUUGUUGAGGAGCACAGGCACUAGAAGUGCCGGCUCAAUAGUUGUGUUGCACAGGCUUAGUGGAGCCACGGCAUGUGGAAUUUUCCUAGACCAGGGAUCAAACCCGUCCCUUGCAUUGCAAGGCAGAUUCUUAACCACUGGAACACCAGGGAAAUUCCCCAUUCUCUGCUUGACCAGUGCGUUCCCUGUUGUCAGCUAAAACUCUUCUCAUUCAUGACCUUCAACUCUUUAGAUGGUAAACUCCCAAUCCUGAAUCAAUUGCACGAUUCCGCACACCAUCACCACCUAUGUUGGAUUGGCAUGCAGAGCACAAUGUAAAAUAUGCUGGAAAGAUACGGAGUUGGAGCCGGGGGUUGUGCAAUGGAGGGGGGAAUCUGUUAGAAGAAUCUAGUGGAUUCAGCUACAGUUUGACCUCUGUAUCAUUGAGCACUUCUUAUCUGAUCAGCACCCU
ensembl:lncRNA